AUUGAACGCUGGCGGCGUGCCUAAUACAUGCAAGUAGGACGCAGUUGCGAACGGGUGAGUAACGCGUAGGUAACUGCCUAUUAGAGGGGGAUAACUAUUGGAAACGAUAGCUAAUACCGCAUACUAGUAGAUGGACCUGCGUUGUAUUAGCUAGUAGGUAGGGUAAUGGCCUACCUAGGCGACGAUACAUAGCCGACCUGGUAGGGUGGUCGGCCACACUGGGACUGAGACACGGCCCAGACUCCUACGGGAGGCAGCAAGAGGGAAUCUUCGGCAAGGGGGGGAACCCUGACCAAGCAACGCCGCGUGAGUGAAGAAGGUUUUCGGGUCGGAAAGCUCUGUUGUUAGGGAAGCGGUACUUAACCAGAAAGGGACGGCUAACUACGUGCCAGCCGCCGCGGUAAUAC
rnacentral:rRNA from 1 species